UCUUGAAACACGGACCAAGGAGUCUAGCGUGUGCGCGAGUCAUUGGGUUCUAAAACCUAAAGGCGCAAUGAAAGUGUCAGGUGGGCCUCUCAAGGGAGGUCUCCCCGCUGGGAGGAUGGUCUACCGGACAACUAUUGUCGGUGACCCGCACUCCCGGGGCGUCUCGUUCUCAUCACGAGUAGAGACGCACCAGGAGCGCACACGCUGGUACCCGAAAGAUGGUGAACUAUGCCUGGCCAGGACGAAGCCAGGGGAAACCCUGGUGGAGGUCCGAAGCGAUUCUGACGUGCAAAUCGAUCGUAUGAGCUGGGUAUAGGGGCGAAAGACCAAUCGAACCAUCUAGUAGCUGGUUCCCUCUGAAGUUUCCCUCAGGAUAGCUGGCUCUCACGAUGAUAGGAGUCUCAUCCGGUAGAGCGAAUGAUUAGAGGUGAUGGGGUCGAAACGACUUCAACCUAUUCUCAAACUCCCAAUAGAUGAGAGCACCGGCUUGCUUAAAAGUGAAGCCGGUGACUCGGAUCAGGGAGCCAAGUGGGCCAAUUUUGGUAAGCAGAACUG
rnacentral:rRNA from 1 species